rnacentral:rRNA from 1 species
AUACGAAGGGGGCUAGCGUUGUUCGGAAUUACUGGGCGUAAAGCGCGCGUAGGCGGAUUGGUCAGUUAGGGGUGAAAUCCCAGGGCUUAACCCUGGAACUGCCUCUAAUACUGCCAGUCUUGAGUUCGGGAGAGGUGAGUGGAAUUCCUAGUGUAGAGGUGAAAUUCGUAGAUAUUAGGAAGAACACCAGUGGCGAAGGCGGCUCACUGGCCCGAUUCUGACGCUGAGGCGCGAAAGCGUGGGGAGCAAACAGGAUUAGAAACCCUAGUAGUCC